rnacentral:rRNA from 1 species
AUUGAACGCUGGCGGCAGGCUUAACACAUGCAAGUCGAGCGAGCGGCGGACGGGUGAGUAAUGUCUGGGAAAGUGCCUGAUGGAGGGGGAUAACUACUGGAAACGGUAGCUAAUACCGCAUACCAUCAGAUGUGCCCAAAUGGGAUUAGCGAGUAGGUGGGGGAACGGCGCACCUAGGCGACGAUCCCUAGCUGGUCUGAGAGGAUGACCAGCCACACUGGAACUGAGACACGGUACAGACUCCUACGGACGGCAGCAGUGGGGAAUAUUGCACAAGGGGCGCAAGCCUGAUGCAGCCAUGCCGCGUGUGUGAAGAAGGCCUUCGGGUUGUAAAGCACUUUCAGCGGGGAGGCGUUACCCGCAGAAGAAGCACCGGCUAACUCCGUGCCAGCAGCCGCGGUAAUUC